rnacentral:rRNA from 1 species
UUUAUCGGAGAGUUUGAUCCUGGCUCAGGACGAACGCUGGCGGCGUGCCUAAUACAUGCAAGUCGAGCGGACAGAUGGGAGCUUGCUCCCUGAUGUUAGCGGCGGACGGGUGAGUAACACGUGGGUAACCUGCCUGUAAGACUGGGAUAACUCCGGGAAACCGGGGCUAAUACCGGAUGGUUGUUUGAACCGCAUGGUUCAAACAUAAAAGG